CCUACGGGAGACAGCAGUGGGGAAUAUUGGGCAAUGGAGGAAACUCUGACCCAGCAACGCCGCGUGACGGAUGAAGGUUUUCGGAUUGUAAACUUCUGUCGCGAGGGAUGAAGAAUGACGGUACCUCGUAAGAAAGCCCCGGCAAACUACGUGCCAGCAGCCGCGGUAAUACGUAGGGGGCGAGCGUUGUCCGGAAUGACUGGGCGUAAAGGGAGUGUAGGCGGCAUAUUAAGUUAUGUGUGAAAGCCCGCGGCUCAACCGCGGAAUUGCACAUAAAACUGGUAAGCUGGAGUGCAGGAGAGGUAAGUGGCAUUCCUAGUGUAGCGGUGAAAUGCGUAGAUAUUAGGAGGAACACCAGUGGCGAAGGCGGCUUACUGGACUGUAACUGACGUUGAGGCUCGAAAGCGUAGGGAGCAAACAGGAUUAGAUACCCUAGUAGUC
rnacentral:rRNA from 1 species